rnacentral:lncRNA from 1 species
CUCCUGGAUAAGUGGGCUGGCAGAUAAUAACAGCAUGCGGAUGAGCAAAUUGUACAUCAAGAAGUGGUCAAACAAGAGAGUGUCUCCUUCACCUCUACAUCUGAUAAUCUAUUCUGAAGAGAGAAUCUAUAAGCUACGAACUUAUGAAUCUUACAAGAUGAUUCAUUUUCCUUCCUCUCUUAUGAAGACCUGGUUGGGAAAUCAGGAGAAGCACAGAGAAUCCUGCUCCCCCUUCAGAGAGAGUUCAAGAAAGCUCACAGCAGUGAACUGUAGCAAAUGGAAACCUUGAUUUCAAUUGCAACACAUUCUUGGGAUUCAUGGAAGUAAUAUGCACAUAGGAGUGCCAGGAACCUGCUAGACAUCGCCUGUGCUUUGCCCUGUAUUUGGAAGCCCAUUGGGAAAUUUGAAAAGGUCUGAGAAGAAUCAUCCCGUCUGUUAAGUGAUAAUUUGAGAAGAAAGAAACAUCGUCCUUGAAGUGCAGAGAGUUGCUUCUCUCUUGACACCUUAGAGGCAAGUCCAGGGAGCAGAAUUAAGUGACAGUAAAAGGAAAAGAUCACAUGUAUCACAGGAAUGAGAAAUCCUUAUGGCUAAGUCAGCUUUCCACAGUUAGGCUACACUUUGAUGUUGGCAAAAGUUUCCCUAGUGGGAGAGACAUAGGGAAAAGGGCAGAGGAAUAAAGAGACAGCUUCACUUACCCAGUCUAAGUAAAGAGGUGAACAGUUCAUCCAUCUAAUAUUUAAUAUGGGCUUCUCUUGUGAAGAGCUGGAAAUGCAUUUAUUAAAGUCUGCAUAAGCAGUUGAGUUAUAACCUCCAAAAUAAACUGGAAGAAAUAAAGGAAAAGAAACUGACUUACUGAAAAGUUUAUAAGCCCUCACAGAGAGCCAAGCUGCAAACAAGAAUCCAUGCAGAGCUGAAGGGAUGUCUCCGGGGGAUUAGUUGCAGAAUUGUUUUCUCUAGUGGAUGCUGUAGUGUAUGGACCGAUUCCUCCAUUGAUGGCCAAACUACUCAUUCCCCCACCUGCUGAGAAUCAGAGUGUGGACGGCUGAUGACUCAUGACUGAGUUCCUUACCAGGAAUUAACCUUGACUGGGCCCAAGUGUAUGCUCCCUGUCUGGGUUCAAAUUAAAAUCCAAAACGUAGUCUAUGUGGGAGUACAGAUACCCAGUCAUCAUGUCUCAGUUUGGGGCAGCUCUGAUGGGUCCUCCCAGUUCUAGAACCAGCUGUAGUCUUUAUUGUAAUGGCAUCAUAGUUCAGCUUGCCCUUGCCUAAUUCUGCUGCCUUCCUUUCUUCACUGGUGUUCUUUCCCAAACAACUCGGGAAUAAAUUCCCUGCAUGCAAAUCUUUGCCUCCAAGUCGGUUUUCUCUGAAACUAGACCUCAGAAACUUCAACAUAGUGAAACUCAUAGUGAA